CCCUUAGAUGUUCGGAGCUGCACGCGCGCUACACUGAGUGUCUGAGAUACGAGUCUGCCUGGUCCGGCAAGGUCUAGGUAAUCGCUAAAAGACACAUCAUGCUUGGGAUAGAUUAUUGCAAAUAUUAAUCUUGAACGAGGAAUUCCUAGUAAGCGCAAGUCAACAGCUUGCGUUGAUUACGUCCCUGCCCUUUGUACACACCGCCCGUCGCUACUACUGAUUGGAUGUUUAAGCGAGGUUCUCGAACUGCUAGCGACUUAGCUUCGGUGAGGUCGCAGUGUGGGAAGUGAACCUAGCUUUGGUGUCUAGAGGAAGUAAAAGUCGUAACA
rnacentral:rRNA from 1 species